rfam:TPA: Bos taurus chromosome X, whole genome shotgun sequence.
GCCCUGGUGUCUCAGAUGGUAAAGAAUCUGCCUGCAAUGUAGGAGACCCAGGUUCGAUCCCUGGAUUGGGAA